rnacentral:misc_RNA from 1 species
AGUUGAGUUGAGUUGAGUUUAUUCCUUCAAAUUACAAAUAAAUGGUAUGAACCAGUAUAAAUAUUAUAUUUUUCUACCUUUCGUCAUAGUAUUGUGAGAAAUUUAGAAAACACAUUGGAAUUAGGAAUUAAGAGUUCUCAGUAAUUGUAUCUUACUUUUUUUUUCAUCAUAGUAGAAUCUUUUUCUCUCGUCUUGCCUAUGGAUAUAGACGUUACAGUCAAACUACAUAAAUAUUAUGUUCAUUCUUUUUCUUCCCUUUAUGCGGUGUGAUAUGCGAUUGUGUGUAUACUUUAAAUUUGCAUACCUGUUUUAACAUUACUAAAACUUUUAAAAUUGGAUAGAAAGGAAAAUUCAAGAAAAGCUCAAGAUAAACGAGAUCAUUAGGCAUAAAAAAUUAUAAAUAAAGAGUAGUUACCCAUAAGAAAUGCAUAUAGAAAAGAAAUUUAGGGUUUGGAGGGGGUGUGAACAAUACCACAUGUAUUAUAGUUGCAAAAGAAAGAGCAUUCAAAACCAAAUCAAAAUACUCAAUGCCACUAUCAAAAACCUUGCAAGCAAAAUUUUGGAAAAU